rnacentral:rRNA from 1 species
UACGUAGGUGGCGAGCGUUGUCCGGAUUUACUGGGCGUAAAGAGCGCGCAGGCGGCUGGUCAAGUCCGAUGUGAAAGCUCCCGGCUUAACUGGGAAAUUGCAUCGGAAACUGAUCGGCUGGAAGGUGGGAGAGGGUAGCGGAAUUCCCGGUGUAGUGGUGAAAUGCGUAGAUAUCGGGAGGAACACCAGUGGCGAAAGCGGCUAC